AUCCAGCUUGUGAGUGGCAAAUAGGACGAAACGCACGUCCUGGAU
rnacentral:hammerhead_ribozyme from 1 species